rnacentral:tRNA from 1 species
GCGUCGUUAGCUCAGUUGGUAGAGCAGCCGACUCUUAAUCGGCGGGUCGGGGGUUCAAGUCCCUCACGGCGCAC